rnacentral:rRNA from 1 species
GUGGGGAAUAUUGGACAAUGGGCGAAAGCCUGAUCCAGCCAUGCCGCGUGUGUGAAGAAGGUCUUCGGAUUGUAAAGCACUUUAAGUUGGGAGGAAGGGCAGUAAGUUAAUACCUUGCUGUUUUGACGUUACCGACAGAAUAAGCACCGGCUAACUUCGUGCCAGCAGCCGCGGUAAUACGAAGGGAGCAAGCGUUAAUCGGAAUUACUGGGCGUAAAGCGCGCGUAGGUGGUUUUGUAAGUUGGAGGUGAAAUCCCCGGGCUCAACCUGGGAACUGCCUCCAAAACUGCAUGACUAGAGUACGGUAGAGGGUAGUGGAAUUUCCUGUGUAGCGGUGAAAUGCGUAGAUAUAGGAAGGAACACCAGUGGCGAAGGCGACUACCUGGACUGAUACUGACACUGAGGUGCGAAAGCGUGGGGAGCAAACAGGAUUAGAUACCCCAGUAGUCC